AGGGGCUUAAGUUAACGAAACUAGAAGUCUUCAAAACUUCCAUUAGGGCCCACACCCUAGCCCCUG
rnacentral:tRNA from 1 species